GAUGAACGCUGACAGAAUGCUUAACACAUGCAAGUCAACUUGAACUUCGGUUUGGGUGGCGGACGGGUGAGUAACGCGUAAAGAACUUGCCUCACAGAUAGGGACAACAUUUGGAAACGAAUGCUAAUACCUGAUAUUAUGAUUAUAUGGCAUCGUAUAAUUAUGAAAGCUAUAUGCGCUGUGAGAGAGCUUUGCGUCCCAUUGGCUAGUUGGAGAGGUAACGGCUCACCAAGGCGAUGAUGGGUAGCCGGCCUGAGAGGGUGAUCGGCCACAAGGGGACUGAGACACGGCCCUUACUCCUACGGGAGGCAGCAGUGGGGAAUAUUGGACAAUGGACCAAGAGUCUGAUCCAGCAAUUCUGUGUGCACGAUGAAGUUUUUCGGAAUGUAAAGUGCUUUCAGUUGGGAAGAAAAAAAUGACGGUACCAACAGAAGAAGUGACGGCUAAAUACGU
rnacentral:rRNA from 1 species